GCCGAUAUGCCAGAGUCGUUAAUGGGAGUGAUUUGAAUUGCACAUCAUCACUUGGGCUAUGCCCGCGUAGGUUCAAAUCCUACUGUCGGCG
rfam:Piloderma croceum F 1598 unplaced genomic scaffold scaffold_00016, whole genome shotgun sequence.